rnacentral:rRNA from 1 species
GAAUAUUACACAAUGGAGGAAACUCUGAUGUAGCAACGCCGCGUGGAGGAUGACACAUUUCGGUGCGUAAACUCCUUUUAUGUGAGAAGAUAAUGACGGUAUCACAUGAAUAAGCACCGGCUAACUCCGUUCCAGCAGCCGCGGUAAUACGGAGGGUGCAAGCGUUACUCGGAAUCACUGGGCGUAAAGCGCGCGCAGGCGGCUUUGUAAGUUGGAUGUGAAAUCCUAUGGCUCAACCAUAGAACUGCAUCCAAAACUACUUAGCUAGAGUCUGGGAGGGGAAGAUGGAAUUAGUGGUGUAGGGGUAAAAUCCGUAGAGAUCACUAGGAAUACCAAAAGCGAAGGCGAUCUUCUGGAACAGUACUGACGCUGAGGCGCGAAAGCGUGGGGAGCAAACAG